AGUGAACGCUGGCGGUAGGCCUAACACAUGCAAGUCGAACGGCAGCACAGUAAGAGCUUGCUCUUACGGGUGGCGAGUGGCGGACGGGUGAGGAAUACAUCGGAAUCUACUUUUUCGUGGGGGAUAACGUAGGGAAACUUACGCUAAUACCGCAUACGACCUACGGGUGAAAGCAGGGGAUCUUCGGACCUUGCGCGAUUGAAUGAGCCGAUGUCGGAUUAGCUAGUUGGCGGGGUAAAGGCCCACCAAGGCGACGAUCCGUAGCUGGUCUGAGAGGAGGAUCAGCCACACUGGAACUGAGACACGGUCCAGACUCCUACGGGAGGCAGCAGUGGGGAAUAUUGGACAAUGGGCGCAAGCCUGAUCCAGCCAUACCGCGUGUGUGAAGAAGGCCUUCGGGUUGUAAAGCCCUUUUGUUGGGAAAGAAAAGCAGCAGGUUAAUACCCCGCUGUUCUGACGGUACCCAAAGAAUAAGCACCGGCUAACUUCGUG
rnacentral:rRNA from 1 species